rnacentral:rRNA from 1 species
UACGUAGGGUGCAAGCGUUAAUCGGAAUUACUGGGCGUAAAGCGUGCGCAGGCGGUUUGUUAAGUCAGAUGUGAAAUCCCCGGGCUCAACCUGGGAACUGCAUCUGAUACUGGCAAGCUUGAGUCUCGUAGAGGGGGGUAGAAUUCCAGGUGUAGCGGUGAAAUGCGUAGAGAUCUGGAGGAAUACCGGUGGCGAAGGCGGCCCCCUGGACGAAGACUGACGCUCAGGUGCGAAAGCGUGGGGAGCAAACAGGAUUAGAUACCCUGGUAGUCCACGCCGUAAACGAUGUCGACUUGGAGGUUGUGCCCUUGAGGCGUGGCUUCCGGAGCUAACGCGUUAAGUCGACCGCCUGGGGAGUACGGCCGCAAGGUUAAAACUC